CGUUCAUCGUUCGACUGGUUGAGUCUGGCGGUGACGGAAAUUACCGAACGCUUUCGGCCGAAGAGACUGCCGUGAGUUAGCAAUUAUCGCGCGAGGCGCCAGCUAAAGCAAGCCAGGACAGAUCGUGAUGAGUGCUCACUGGAAGGACAGAUCGUGAAGCUGAGACUCCAAUACUUUGGCCACCUCAUGAGAAGAGAAGACUCCCUGGAAAAGACCCUGAUGUUGGGAAAGAUGGAGGGCACAACGAGAAGGGGACGACAGAGGACGAGAUGGUUGGAUAGUGUUCUCGAAGCUACCAGCAUGAGUUUGACUGAACUGCGGGAAGCAGUGGAAGACAGGAGUACCUGGCGUGCUCUGGUCCAUGGAGUCACGAAGAGUCAGACACGACUAAACGACUGAACAACAACAACAACAACAACCUUUUGAAACCUAGAACACAGUUAUUCAGUACUGCAUCACAUGUCCAACUGAUAAUUGAACUUCGGAGUAAACAUGGUUAGGAUUGAGCUGCUUAAAAAUGUUUGCUGUUCCCUUUGUAGACUAUGUUGUACAAAUAAUGCUAUUAUUUAUGGGUACUUGGUGCAAUAAAUAACUUUAUAUAUUG